rnacentral:tRNA from 1 species
CGGGGCGUAGCUCAGCUUGGUAGAGCGCUGCUUUCGGGAGGCAGAGGUCGGAGGUUCGAAUCCUCUCGCCCCGACCA